AUGGGACUUGAGCAGCUGGUCGAAGAAUUAAAUCUCCUUGUAAAUAAAAGGUGCCUCAUUGUUCUUGAUGAUAUAUCAACCACUGCAGAAUGGGAUUUGGUCAAAAGUUACUUGAAAAAUGCCGGAACGGUCAUAGUCACCACAAGGGAAAAAAAUGUUGCCAAACAUUGUUCAGGAGAAGGCACCAACUCGUAUCAUCUUGAAGGUCUGAAUGAUGGUGCUGCACUUGAUCUCUUCAAAAAGAAGGUGUUUAAGGAUAAGGCAGAAAAGGUUAAUUUGGCCCUAGAUAUGGAGGAACAGGCAAAACUUAUCUUAAAGAAGUGUGGUGGACUUCCCCUUGCAAUAUCAACUAUAGGUGGAUUCCUAGCCACGAGGCCUAAAACUGCUAUUGAAUGGAGGAAGAUGCAGGGCCGUAUUAGUGCUGAGUUGGAGAUCAACCCAGAGCUUAGGACUAUAAAGACAGUCCUUAUGAGGAGCUAUGAUGGCUUACCCUACCACCUCAAGUUGUGUUUCUUAUACAUGUCUAUAUUCCCGGAAGACUACAUAAUUAAGCGCAAGCGUUUGGUGAGGCGAUAG
rnacentral:rRNA from 1 species